ensembl:lncRNA
CACCAAUCAGGUUUAAGCACUAUACAAAUGCAGCAGGUGAGUUCACCAAACUUAACCAAAAUGGAAGGAAGAGGAAGAGUGAGGAUGAGAGGGGGAAUCGGAGAAGGAGGAGAAGGAGGCAGAGGCCGUGCCAGAGGUAGAGGCCGAGGUAGAGGUAGAGGAAGAGGAAGAGGAAGAGGAAGACUUCAAGCAGGAGGAGGUGAAGCUCAAAGGAGAAGAGGUCCAACUUUAAGCAAUGAAAUUCGCGCAACUCUUGUGGACCAUUUUGUGAACCAUGGAUUGACGCUGAGGGAGGCUGGACUGAGAGUCCAGCCAAAUCUCAGCAGAUUCACCGUGGCAUCUGUCAUAAGGGCAUUCAGACUGGAAAACAGGAUUGAGGGUCGAGUACAACGAGGAGGAAGGGCUCCCAUUUUCACACCACUGCAGGAGAGAGAGAUUGUGAAUAUGGUUUUGGCAAAUAAUGCCAUCAGGCUUCGUGAAAUCCAGGCCAAAAUUAUUGAAGACCCAAAUCAUUUUUCAGAACGUGAAUCAGGUCUCUCUGUCCACCAUAGCUCGUAUCCUGAAGGCACAUCAGGUACAAAUGAAAUAGAUGUACCGAGUGCCUUUAGAGAGGAACUCGGAGAGGGUCAAUCAGCUGCGGCAUGAGUAUGUGGAGCAUGGCGGUGGAAGGUUUACGAUCUGCACCCCCUGGCUCGGGUAGCCCUCGUUCACGCCAUGGAGGAGGCCUGUGACCAGGUUGAGAUUCUCUGGCCAUAUCCAGCUAGGAGUAGAGACCAACAAUAGCAAUUUAUGUGCUGUG